rnacentral:rRNA from 1 species
GAUGAACGCUGGCGGCGUGCUUGACACAUGUAAGUCGUACGAUCUCUCGUCUUCGGAUUGGGAGAUAGUGGCGAACGGGUGAGUAACACGUUGGUGACCUGCCCCGAAGUGGGGGAUAACCAUGGGAAACUGUGGCUAAUACCGCAUAAACUCUAGGGGGUUAGAGGCCCCUAGAGUAAAGCUACGGCGCUUCGGGAGGGGCCUGCGGCCUAUCAGCUAGUUGGUAGGGUAAUGGCCUACCAAGGCUAAGACGGGUAGGGGGCGUGAGAGCGUGGCCCCCCACAAUGGAACUGAGACACGGUCCAUACUCCUACGGGUGGCUG